ensembl:lncRNA
CCCCGGGGGUGGAUCAGGUGUCCCGCGAGGGUGGGUGAGCAGAUGGAAGGGCGCCCAUCGCGGGGACGCAGGGCGCUGCUCCAGCCCGUGGAGUGAGAGAUCGGUGGGUGAGCAGUGGACCUGACGCGCAGGUGGGAGCCGCGGCCUAGGCGGGUCCGGGGCUGGGAAGGGCCGGCUGCAGCUCCGCCUGAGGUGUUCAGUCAGAAAAAGGUCAGCUGCUGACGGCCCGGCGCCCGCCUCCUGAGGCUUCGCGACGUGGGAGUGCAGUCCAGGGUGACAGCGGGGCCAGGGUGGGUCUGAAGACCACCCGAGCCGGCGCGGGAGGAAGCUUCCCUACGUUUAUACCAGACCUAGUUUCCGGAGACCGUGGAUGCCGGGAGGGGUCGUUGGGCUCUGGAUGGCCGACCCGUGUCUUUGGAACAAGGUAGCUAUUGUGAAGCAUGAACAGUCCUACCUGAAAGACAACCGCUGUGACCUGAACGCUCUCACUAGUGCUUCAGGGCAGACCCAGAAGAGUCAAAGAAAGGAGACGAUCCUAGCUUUACGAAGCGAGGCAGUGACUGAUGCUUCUGUCCAUAGUGAACGAGAUCUGGGUGAUGCUACUACCUCCAGAAGUUGUGAAAGAUUGGGUGGUAUUGGAGGGCUUGGCCCAGCUUCCAGGAAGAGACCUCAGCCGGGCUGAGAGGGGUGGGCAAAGGCCUUAGGAAAUGUAACCUAUUGGAGGGGAUCUCAGGGUGCGGUCUGGGGGUGGGUGGGCGCCAGGGUAACCUGGCACAGCUGAGAGUGCUCCUUAAAUAUUCCCAUUCCUUCGUUCUCCUCUCAUUGUUUCUGUUAUCUGAACUCUCUCAAAACCUAUUGUAUCAUUAAAUUUGAUAUCUAGAGGUAUGUUGUUGCUUCCUCUUCCUGCUGCUUCUUCUUGGUAGUUCAGGAAGGGUUGUCAGGGUAUUUCUGCCUUAUAAUAAAGAUUGGGGGUGGAGUGAGGGUAAGUUAAAGAGAAAGGAUUUGAGGACCGGAGUGAUUCGCCAGGCUCACAUGAUUUUUUGUAUAUAUCAGGUAUCCUGACUUUAAGAUAAUAUUAUCCACUCUGCCAUCAUUAAGCUAAAACACACAUUUAUUUUUGACAUCGUUUUUGAGAAAUGCAGUGAAGUUAGAACAAACAGUUUUUAGAAGACCUUGCCUUAAACAUGCCUAUCCUAUUUUCCCUAAUUGUGUCUGUGGACGGUGUGAGCUGCAGGGGCUAAUAAAUACAGGUUUCUCACUUAACAUCAGAAAUCUGUUUUAAUAAUUAUAAAUUUUACAGCACAAUAAAAGAAGCCUAUUUUCCACUGUUUAAAAUAGGAAAAUUAGAGGGAAUCACACUUUACUUUUUGGUUACAAACUGAUUUUUUAAAAUGUAAAUAAAACACAGCACAUGUCCUCAUUAAGACUCAUUAAGACUCAUUAAGAUCAUGAGUCAUUAAGACUCAUGAUCUGCACACAAUUGGUUUGUGCAAUAUGCAUGAUCUCUUAGUUCUAGCAGCUUCACCGAGGUCCAUCUAGGUGACAUUUGUUCUGCUUUUCAAAAGUUCUACAUGUGGUUGUAAAGUUCUGUUGAUUGUUUUCAACAUGUAAGCCUUUCUUCCUUAUGUAAUUUUGUCAAAAAACAUUGAGUUUUGGAGUGUAGAUGUGUCAUUUAGUAUUUGCUCUGUAAUGAACCAACCCAAGUUUACUGGCUUAAAAAAAUGAAAAAUUAUUAACAUAUUUGCUGAAAGUUCUAUGGUUCAGUAUUUUGGUCCAGGUUUAGUUGGUCGGUUCCUAUGCUAGUGUUGUCUGGAUCACAAAUGGGGCUGUAGUCAUCUGGUGUCCUGACUGAGGCUCUUUGGUUUAAGGUGACUUCAUUUACUUUUUCCUUGGUUUGUGCUGGCUGUUGGCUAUAAACCAUGUGUCCCUAACUGGCUAGCUCCAGGUUUCUUUACAAGGUGACAGUGUUCCCAGAAGCCAAGCUCUAGUGGAAAAGUACUUUUCAUCCUUUGUUUGCAACAUACAUCCUUUUAGCAUGUUAAGAAGCAAAAGCCACAUCAUUGUUGCAGGUAACUUCAUGGGGCAGUAAAUACAGAGAAGCAACUGUUGUUUAAAUAAACAACCAUUAGUUAAGUAAACAUCUUUAGAAAUUUUAAUUGAUUUUUACCAUUAACUCUUGAUAAAUCAGUAGGAAACAUGCUUUUGUUGAGGACUAAUUAUCUUCAUUCUACAAAUUCCUAGACCCUCGGGUGUUCCUUCUCAAGGUGUACAAUAUUGUUAUCUCUCAGAAAGCUUUCUUUCCCUCCCUCCCCUUCCUUUUGUCUUUUCUAGCUAAUGUCAGAGGUCUGGACAGCAGAAUCUAGGAGCAAGUCACCCAGGUCUUUCAUGAUGCUGUACCAGUCUCCUUCUCUCCCAGCUCUAUUUCCAGGAUCCUUUAUGUAUUUCUAGGAGCAGCGGGAAAUGAAUACAUCUCUGGACUUUGCUUUACCAAACCUGAGGUGAUCGUCAAGUUGGAACAAGGAGCAGAGCCAUGGACUGUAAAAGAACCCCCAAACCAGAGUUUCCCAGGUGCUGGCUUUGCCAAGACUACGAGACUGCCCUCCCAUGGGACACCACACACCUCUGGCUUUCCCAAGAUGACGAGACCCCCCUACCGUGGGACACCACACACCUCUGGCUUUCCCAAGACUGUGAGACCACCCCCCUAUGGGACACCACACACCUCUGGCUUUGUCAAGAUUCCGAGACCACCAGAGUCCAGCUGCAGGUGAAAGGUCAACUAACCUUCUCCCCCAGCUUCAGGGAAUCAAUUUCCCAUCCACAGGGUAUAAGAAGGCCCCAGCAGAAGUGGGGGGGGCUGGCUCUUCUCAGGGUCAGUCACCCUCUCCUUUCCCUCUAAUAAAUUUCCUUCUCUUUGUU